rnacentral:rRNA from 1 species
UACGUAGGGUGCAAGCGUUAAUCGGAAUUACUGGGCGUAAAGCGUGCGCAGGCGGUUUUGUAAGUCUGACGUGAAAUCCCCGGGCUCAACCUGGGAAUUGCGUUGGAGACUGCAAGGCUAGAAUCUGGCAGAGGGGGGUAGAAUUCCACGUGUAGCAGUGAAAUGCGUAGAGAUGUGGAGGAACACCGAUGGCGAAGGCAGCCCCCUGGGUCAAGAUUGACGCUCAUCCACGAAAGCGUGGGGAGCAAACAGG